rnacentral:rRNA from 1 species
AUUGAACGCUGGCGGCAUGCCUAACACAUGCAAGUCGAACGGAAGUAGGGGCAACUCUACUUUAGUGGCGGACGGGUGAGGAAUGCGUCGGAAUCUACCCUAUGGUGGGGGAUAACACAGGGAAACUUGUGCUAAUACCGCAUGAUGUCGAGAGACCAAAAGCAGGGGACCGCAAGGCCUUGCGCGAUAGGAUGAGCCGACGCCCGAUUAGCUAGUUGGUAGGGUAAAGGCCUACCAAGGCGACGAUCGGUAGCUGGUCUGAGAGGAUGAUCAGCCACACUGGGACUGAGACACGGCCCAGACUCCUACGGGAGGCAGCAGUGGGGAAUAUUGGACAAUGGGCGCAAGCCUGAUCCAGCAAUGCCGCGUGUGUGAAGAAGGCCUGCGGGUUGUAAAGCACUUUUGUUCGGGAAGAAAACGGAUCGGUUAAUACCCGGUUCGGAUGACGGUACCGAAAGAAUAAGCACCGGCUAACUUCGUGCCAGCAGCCGCGGUAAUGUAUCG